AUGAUGUACUCUGUUGGGUUUCAUUUUCUAUGGGAAAUGGAACUGGGGCUGGAGCCCUUUUCUUUAAAAAAAAGACGAUCGUUUGCACCAAAGCCGAUUGUGAUGCAACAGACAUCAAAAGAAUUUGACCAGUCCUGUGGUCCACACCUUACAGAUCAGCGACUCGAGCUCCGUGCGCGGCCGAUCAGAGAACUGCAUGUCAUAGGCCAAACGAGCCGAGUAUUCAGCGCCCCCCGCCGUCCAGUUGAUGGCAUCGUGCUGGCCUGCGAUCAGCAUGAUCCGUGCGUCCCUGAUGACCCGCGGUAG
rnacentral:rRNA from 1 species